rnacentral:rRNA from 1 species
UACGGAGGGUGCAAGCGUUACUCGGAAUCACUGGGCGUAAAGCGCGCGCAGGCGGUCUUUUAAGUUGGAUGUGAAAGCCUACGGCUCAACCGUAGAACUGCAUCCAAAACUAUUAGACUAGAGUGUGGGAGAGGAAGAUGGAAUUAGUUGUGUAGGGGUAAAAUCCGUAGAGAUAACUAGGAAUACCAAAAGCGAAGGCAAUCUUCUGGAACACUACUGACGCUGAGGCGCGAAAGCGUGGGGAGCAAACAGGAUUAGAAACCCUAGUAGUCC